CCCAGCCCCAAACCCCCAAUCAACUCCCAAUCCCCGAUCCAACCUCUGCGAUCUAGCCCAGAAUCCGCGAUCCAGCCCGGUCCACCCUUCAGCAGCGACACUCGCAGCCUCCGACCUCUCAGACCUACUGACCCCUCAGACCCAGUGAGCCUCGCAGAACCGUUAGGCGCGCGCCUGCACCGCGGGGGCCACGCGGCUCCCCGAAGCCCCCGGGGCAGGCGCCGCUGGGCUCGCGGGUUCUCCUGGCGGGCCCGGGCAGCCCCAGGGCCACAGGCGGAAAAUCGCAGGCGCGCAGCCCGCCCUGCCUGAGGAGGGGGGCCAGUCUGGCCACGCACCUACCCUGCUCAUCGUCCGCAGGGAGAUCUGGGGCUGGCACGGGCACUCCGCGGCCACCGGGCUGGCUUCACGGAUGGCCUGGCUUCAGCGCUGAGGCUCUGGCCCUGGGGGCUGCCUGGCUGGUGUCAGGCAGCGGGAGAGGCAAGGACAGUCUGCGGUUGCCCCUUCCCCCACCCGCCCCACCGCUUGCCGUGCCAGGACGGGCAGUUUGCAGCUGCACCUCUGGCACUGGCGAGGGAUGGCGGAGCUUCCCUUGAAUGAUGUCGGGGUCGCCGAGUGCACAGCCUACCUGGUCUGAGGGUCCUCUCCUCCUGGACACCUCUUCGGAUCCUGGACCCUGGCGCUGGGCAAUCCACAUGGAUGAGACUGAUCUGCUGCUGGUGAAGCCGACCGCCUGACUUUGUAGCCUGGGCGACUGGCCCCAGAAUCCGCGCUGCUGGGGAUGGGGGCCUGGUCUGCGGUGUCCAGCCACCCGCUGCCCGCGCGCCACGUCUAGGCUGGUGGCUGCAGCUGCAGCUCCGCACCUGCGGGGGCUGGCGGGCCUGGUACCUGAUACCAUCAGGGUCAAGUGCACCGCCCACCCACCUGAGGGUCUGCUCUGCCUUGGCCUCCUCCGAGAGCGCAGGGGCCACCGGGGUGGCAAUUUAGGAAUGCCUAAAUUGAAGGAAAUAUCCUUUCUCUGUCUUUAAGAAAUAAGUGGCUUUUGUUGUUGUUGUUUUUGUUUUUGCGAGAUACCCAGCUACAGCAGAAAACAAAGGGGAUGCCAAGGUGAAGGUCCACAGCCAGUUCCUCUAUUGAUGACCUCCAGGCAUUAAUGUUCAAUCUAACUGCUUUGGUUGGCACUUUCACCUCAGCACUUACAGAUGCCUACAGAUCUGUUCAAUUGCAUCGCAUGGAUUCUGAAUUAUUUAAUACCCAAUUAUUUCAUAAUUUAAUACCCAAACUAUUUUAACAGUUUACCAUCUCUGCAAUCCUAAAGUAAUUUUUUCUUUGUUUAUAAAACAAUCGCUAUAGUAAAAUCAAAAUCACAAAACACUUCCACAUUUCAUUGGGUUAAAAAAGCAUUAAAACAUUAUACAUAAAAGAUAAAAAAUAUAUUUGUUUCAUCAUAAAACUAUGGCUUUGCAAAAUUUUUUUACAUUUAGCUACAUUCUUAUGAUUCUUUAACUUUUCACCGUUAUUUUAUAUAUUUUUAAAACAAUGCAUACCAGUGUUUAAAAAAUAAAUGCAGCAUUUCAUCUAGGGCUGAAUAUGUAACACUGGUCAGCUUUUUCAGCAUCGUGCAGGUGUGGGCCUCAGGCUGCUUUGUAUUUACUUAUAUCAAAUGACGUGACCAUCUUAAGUGCACAGAUACCAUCUUCUCGGCUUCUUUCUUCUCCCCCAAAACUAUUUAAUGUUGCUUUAAUGGCAAUGUCAAUUUAACUAGUUUUGUAAUUUCUGUAUUUGUCACAUAACAUGUCAGUUCUUUUUUUUCUUUUUUUUUUUUUUAAAGGAAAGCAUAUAGUCUUAGUUGCUGGGCCAGUUCUUCUGAAUCAGUUUGAAAUCACCUUUUUUCUCUUUCAUAAUAACUACUUACUUUAAUCAACAGGUCAACUAUUAUUGGAUAUUAUUUUUUCAGUUAAAAUUUUGCUGUCUUUCAAAUAUUCCAACUCUUACACACACUUAAGGUACAUAACUAUAGCCUAUACAUAUAUAAGCACACGUUAAGCCAGAUCUAACAUAAAUUUAGAUAUGCCAAGAAAGCCACGUGACCAUUAUUUACAUAAAUAUGAGCAGUGUUCACAUUUAUCAAGGCCAAUGAAUAAUAUUAAGGUGAUUGCUUCAAUGAGAAAUUAAGUGAAGAAUUAUUUGUUGAAUAUUGUCAGAUAAUACCUUUUUUUACCCUGUUAAACUUAUUUAAGCCGGACCCAAAUAAUUUUUAAACGUUUUAUUCUAUCAUGCCUGUAGACAGGUUCAUAUAUUAACCAUUUCUGCUUUCAUGGUCCUUUGAGAAUGGUAUCUUAGCAUGUAAGUGCAAUAAAUAAACAACUUUUAUAGGAA